GAUCAUGGCUCAGGACGAACGCUGGCGGCGUGCUUAACACAUGCAAGUCGAACGGAGCACCCUUGAUUGAGGUUUCGGCCAAAUGAUAGGAAUGCUUAGUGGCGGACUGGUGAGUAACGCGUGAGGAACCUGCCUUUCAGAGGGGGACGAACAGUUGGAAACGACUGCUAAUACCGCAUGACGCAUUUUGAUCGCAUGGUCGAAAUGCCAAAGAUUUAUCGCUGAAAGAUGG
rnacentral:rRNA from 1 species